AUUGAACGCUGGCGGCAGGCCUAACACAUGCAAGUCGAGCGAGCGGCGGACGGGUGAGUAAUGUAUGGGGAUCUGCCCGAUAGAGGGGGAUAACUACUGGAAACGGUGGCUAAUACCCCAUACUCUCGGAUGAACACAUAUGGGAUUAGCUAGUCGGUGGGGUAAAGGCGCACCUGGGCGACGAUCUCUAGCUGUGCUGAGAGGAGGAUCAGCCACACUGGGACGUAGACACGGCCCAGACUCCUACGGGAGGCAGCAGUGGGGAAUAUUGCACAAUGGGCGCAAGCCUGAUGCAGCCAUGCCGCGUGUAUGAAGAAGGCCUUAGGGUUGUAAAGUACUUUCAGCGGGGAGGCGUUACCCGCAGAAGAAGCACCGGCUAACUCCGUGCCAGCAGCCGCGGUAAUAC
rnacentral:rRNA from 1 species